rnacentral:sRNA from 1 species
CUACCCGUGUGUGUGUAUCUGCGAGCUCUCUUCGAUUCCCCUCGUUGUGUAAGAAAUGGGGACGAUAGUUCUAGAAUAAAGCAAUGUGUUACCUCAUGGCUAAGACAGCUACAUAAACGUACAGUCUGGUGAAGGCUUGGCUACGUUCUUCUGUUGAUUAGCUGGGAUAGUGCUACAGGGUAGACUGUCCAUACUUUCAAAGGUAAUGAGUCCCAUUCGAAGAAGACUAUUUUUACUUAAUAGAGCGUUCGUAUAGAGGACUUAUUAAAACUUGGCCAGUGUUAAGGCUGUCUUGCUUGGUGUACGUUUAUACGUAUUCAAAGGUCAUCAUUAUAUGGCAUCAGGAAAAAAUAAGGUGUCCAAUUAAAGUGUGAUACGAGAGAAAAGCCUGAAGUAAAACAAGAAUGUCAAAGAAGGGACACGAAAUAAUUGGAUUUGUUCCCUUGGUCAAGAAACAAGAGCUGGACUUUGACCCGAAAGUUCUGACAUUAACCCAGAUUAUUAACAGCAGCAACUUACCAAAGGUGAUACAGUGUGAGAAGUCGACCAUUCCAUCCAAAGAAGAAACUAACUCGAUAGACAUUUCUCAGCCCUUACUAGCUUACUGCAAGAACUCGGUCAGAAAAGUCUGCGCCCAGAACUUGAGCUAUGAUAAGAAAAAGAAGAUGUUUGUUACUGUUGGCUCAGAUUUAUUGAUUCCAGAAACAUAUCA